GUGCCAGCUCUACCACAGGACCACGAUGUAAAUCAUCACAGCGACCUCCCCCUUCUCUGAUCAAUCAGGAUCUGCUGUGAACUGGACCUGAAAGUCAUACACAGCCAAAGGGAUGUGUUAUUUUGGUCUGAAAAAAGACGACAACAGAAAAAGACAAAAGGCAACAAAAGACUCAAAGUUGUGAAAUGCUGAAGGCAAACAGCUGGUGGAACAGGUUUCUGAAGUAAAGAUGGGGAGGGGUUUACCUGGCUAUGAAAGACUGCCCUGAAAAGUAAAUCAACAAUCAAACAAUAAUGUUUCUAAACGUAAAAUGACAAAGAAUCUGUGGAUUUCAUCGUCUGCAGUUCAUAUCAUUCAAAGAAUCAGAGAAGCUGAACAAAUCUCUGUACACAAGGGACGAGUACAGGUGAAGUGGAAAUGCAUGCCUCAUCCUCCAGCCUAAAGAACAGAGGGAACAUCAGGCUUGUUAUCAGGACUUUGCAAAAGUGAGCGUCCCUGAUGGUAUGGGGGUGCAUUAGUGCACAUGGCAUGAUGGGUCAUUAACCCUCCGGUCAUGUUCACCUCCCCUUUCUUUAGUGUUCCCAGUCAAACCUGACUGAUCUGUUUUACUGUAAUUCCCCUUAAGGUAAAAUGACAUUUGUCUGAUCAUACUGGACUAAAACUCGUCGUCUUUGUGUAGUGUGCUCAUGAGGAUGACAUUUCUGUUCUUUGGAACUUUUUACACAAGAGUGUGUGUGUCAGUGAAAGCUAAUUUUGAUGAGAGUGCCUCUCCUCCUCUGGUCGAUACCAGUGCAGGGGCAAGUUCAGGCUUGUUCUUCCUCACUGUCCCUACCAUGGUGAGCUUUCUUUUCAGCAUCUCCUGACCAAGAGUAUAUUAUGUGAAAAAGUUGUCACAUGUGAUAUUAUGCCCUUGGAGACCAGUUGUCAUGUCCAGCACAACACGCAUGCCCUGUUUUUUUUCCAGCCCUUCCAGUACUGGCUUUCCCCAUGUAUACCUGCAUAUUCCAGGCAUAGCUGCUCCUGGCGUCACAUGCUGCCCAGAUCUUUAUUCCAUAUUUCCCUGGUUUGCUUGGAAUGUACACCUUGAAAGGAACUCCACUCUCGCUCUACUUCUUCUGUCCUGGAGGAAUGAAGACCAGAGCAAGUGCCCACUCUUGGACUGGAAUGUCUCCUCAGGUGCCUGCUCAGUCUCCUCAAAGUCUGGAUGGAAAACUGUGUUGUUCUCCACUUCCGAGACAUCCUCCUCCAUCUCUGGUUCGAUUUCAGUGCCCUCUCCAUCAUGUCCACUAACCUGGGCCAGAACCUCUCUAACAGAGAAUCGCUUGGUCAGUUGUUGUAUCAACAUGUUUCAUCAGAAAGUUGAUUCACGUGGGGAGUGAGUGAGUGAGUGAGUGAGUGAGUGAGUGAGUGAGUGAGUGAGUGAGUGAGUUGGGGUGGUGUGUAUGGGGAUGUUUUCUGUCUGAUGGAUGAAUAUAGUCUGGAUACCCAUUCAUUUCAUGGUGGUCACUUUUGACCGGGAACACCACAAGUGUAACAAGGUUGAUGAGAACACUCAAAAUUCAAUGAAAGAGGUGAUCAUCACUUUUAUAUGUUCAAGUGCAUAGUGUGGAGGAUAUCAUAAGGCCUUGUGGCAAUCAGAUAUAAAACACAAUAUUUAUGAAUGUUUUAAGUUGUAAAUUGGUCAGAUUUGACCCAAACACGACAGGAUUGUAAGGAUUGUUCAUUCAUUUAAUCUGUAUUGUCUGUAUUCAUUUUCUUGGCAAAGCGAGGCUCAGGAACCGAGCUAAACACUGAUGGUGUUAUUGUACAGAUGUCACACCGUGCAAUCAAUAUUUACUGCAUAAUAAUGAAGUUUAAAAAAUGUGUUUGUCUGUUUUGUUACCAUAAGUUGCUCAAUGUUGCAGGAACAUGCAGCUAAAAGUCAACACAGCUGAACAAACAUAGGUUAAAUAAAUAUUUAACUUGCAGUUAACGUACAGUGGGUCAGUUAACUAUGUCAAAAGACAAACAGUUUCUGUAAACAAGAAUAUAACAACGAUGCUGGAAUAAACUAUAAAUAUGUA